rnacentral:rRNA from 1 species
GACGAACGCUGGCGGCGUGCUUAACACAUGCCAGUCGAACGGUAAGGCUCCAGCUUGCUGGGGUACACGAGUGGCGAACGGGUGAGUAACACGUGGGUGACCUGUCCUGCACUUCGGGAUAAGCCUGGGAAACUGGGUCUAAUACCGGAUAGGACCGCACCGUGAGGGUGUGGUGGAAAGUUUUUUCGGUGUGGGAUGGGCCCGCGGCCUAUCAGCUUGUUGGUGGGGUAAUGGCCUACCAAGGCGGCGACGGGUAGCCGGCCUGAGAGGGUGGACGGCCACAUUGGGACUGAGACACGGCCCAGACUCCUACGGGAGGCAGCAGUGGGGAAUAUUGCACAAUGGGCGGAAGCCUGAUGCAGCGACGCCGCGUGGGGGAUGACGGCCUUCGGGUUGUAAACUCCUUUCACCAUCGACGAAGGGUUUCUGACGGUAGAUGGAGAAGAAGCACCGGCUAACUACGUG